rnacentral:rRNA from 1 species
AUGGUAAUGGAAGGAUACAUUAUCUUUGACUUGGUUAAACCCACUGGUGAGAGGCCUGAUGCUAUUACAUUUACUUCAGUUACCAGUGGAUAUUUCCUAGUUGCCAAGAUGGAAGAAGCUUUCAGAAUACCUAAUGCUAUGGUACCGGUUGGUGUGAGGCCUAGUUUAAUUAUGCAGCACUUCUCGGUGGCUGUUGCAAAAAUGGAAGAAUCGAUGCUGGGCAAAAGUGUUAGCCUGUAUCUUACAAUUUAUGUUUCUGGCAUCAUAUUGGAUGGAGAACUUUGUUGCAUUAUUUCAAUUAUUGUCGCAGCAAAAACUUCUUACUGUUUCAUGUGUUACUUUUACUGGCACAUUGACUUGAUAGUUAAACUGCUGAUCUAA